rfam:Patagioenas fasciata monilis isolate BTP2013 Sc31e1R_92, whole genome shotgun sequence.
UGCUAUGAUGAAGUAAUUUGCGUCUUAUCCAGUGUUCAGCGACAGUUGCCUGCUGUCAGCGUGCUGGCACUGCUGAGCUGAAGACCCCUUCACUCUGAGCA